CACAAUUGUAAAAGUUUAGUAGUGCACGCAGUUCAGUGGUUUGAUGGAAGGAGUGGGGUGGGAUGGGGAACAAGGAUUUUAAAUGGUGCAAUUUCAAGAGGUCUAGAAUGUCUUCCAGCUUCCUGUCCUGAACUCUGAUUACUUUUUGAGGAGAAACGNGAGACUCCCUUCCCUUCCAUGACAAAGGGGGUCAUGUGUGCAUCUGGAGCCCAGAAGCUUUGGGAUUCUCCAGAGCACUACGGUGCUCUUCGGUACCAUUUUGCAACAAAACCCUGAUAAAACAGAAUGCAAGGGAAUGUUGCAACCAGAGAUGCAACCCUAUGGCCAUACUUUGUUCUUCAGAUGGAAGAUGUCAAGACAAUUCUCUGGAAGUUGGCAGCUGCAGACAAACUUCGGAAUCAAUUUGUUACCAAAGCAGACCAGUCCGCCCAGAAGCCAAGUAAGAGAGCUUGUUUCUGGAAGUACUGUGUUACUAACUGAAUGCAAGGAGCUGCUUGGCUUUCACUGCAGAAGACUUCAGAGAAUGCCUUUGAACCAGCCAGCUCAGAAUAAGGAGUUCCUGCUUAUAGACAUGUUUUGCUGCAAUAGCUAAAACAAGCCACAUAUGUUUCAUUGUGCAGAAGACGUUAUACUGAAUUGCAUGCAGAAGAACAUGAUUGCUCUCACAAUACACUUGAUGGAUCACAAUACAACAGUCAAGAAAGAGAAAGGAUAGAAGAAUAGUUAGUACCUUCUCAUUUGUAAGAUUAGGUUGAAUGGAAGAGCCUGGGGAUUUUUUUGCAGAUCAAGACAAACCAAGACCCAAACCAGAUAAAAUGGACAAAACCAAGUACACUAGGUAGUUAACAUAAGGUUUNCCAGACAUUGCGGGAUUUCUGUUCCUGUUAUUUUCCAAUGGCUAUGCUAGCCGUAAGNAAUGGGCACUGAAGAUCAGCAAUAACUGAAGAUAGCACAAAUCCCACAUCCUUCCUCUUGGGGCAGGUGAGUUAAAUAGGCCCUAUACUGAUAAUAAUAGUAAGACCCUUUGAGAAUUUAUUAAGGCUAUGAUCAGACACAGUGAAAAAAGCAUCCCCGAGGCAUCUUAUUGAAGGCUCUGANGUGGAUUGUUCAUACACCAAUCUGCCCUUCACCCCUCUAUCAUGAGCAUUCUAUGCUAGAAAAGGUGGAUUAGUAAAGGUUGGGGGCAUGAUGGCCACACACUGAAUCACUGAGGUGCCUCUGAGGCGCCCCUUUUGUUAUGUCUGAUCACAGCCAUACUUUGGAGUUUAGCUUCUAUGACCCCAACCUACAAGCGGUUAUGGAAACUGUCAUUCAAAAGUGGGCUUGGUUUUUCAAACUCUGCAACAAAGAACAAACAAUUCAUAUCUAUUUGUUAUGAAACAGUUCCUUGUUUGUUCGGUAGGCUUCUUUUCUAACAGUCCAUAUAAAAACUAUUGUAAACAUUUGUACAAAAGCAUUGAUUAACCAGGCUGGUGUUACACAUGAACAGGAGAUUGUUAUGUAAAAGGCACUGUGUUGACCACAUCCAUAUCGUAUUUUUUUUAGACUGAUGUUGGGGAAACGUUUGGCAUUAUGCAUUGUAAGCUGCACUGAGAGCCUUCUUAGAGCAUUUCUGCAUUUGAUGGGGCUAGGAACACUCCAGCUGGUCUGUUCCUACUGGAAUGGUUUCCAGCUAGAGCAGUCCAGCUGUGUCCCAUAACAAGGCCAUCUGCACUUGGAACAGCUGUUCUGGGACAGCCCUGCACCGUUCGCANGAGCUUUGGAGCCUGUUAUGGGAGCUCUGUUGGCCGGAAAUGAAAGUUCCUGGCCCCAGAGUCCCUGGGAAACCCAUUUUGGUGGCAUAAUUUUGCACACUGCUGAAAUGGAUCCCUCUGCUAAACUGGCCCAUGGAGGCAUGUGCCCUUCUGCACACCUCCUGGGCCAGUUUAGUCAUGAGUAGGAUGGCAGUAGACCUUUUUAAAAAGAUCUAUUGUUGUCCCAGUUUAAGUGGCCAUUCUGAGCCACCUACACAGGUAUACACUCCGUUCUGUGGGGGCAGAACAUGCUAGCAGGGGGGUGGCUUCUCUGUUCCGUACCCGAGUNUGGAAGAGAGAGGCCCAGAAGAGGUCUAGGUCUCACACCAUACCAGAAUGCUGGUAAGUGUGGAAAGGCUCUUAGACUUAAAGGCAGAAGGUGGCUGAUAUAGCACCUUCCAGAUGAUAACCUCCUGUUCUCAUCAGNUCUGACUAUUAAUCUUUCUGCUGAGACUGGUGGAGUCCAAAAUCCAAGUGACUUUUGUUGCAUAAAAAAGGAUAAUAAUAAUCCAUAGACUAAUAAAAAUGCCAAGUUCAGUUUGGUGACA
ensembl:lncRNA